AUUGAACGCUGGCGGCAGGCCUAACACAUGCAAGUCGGACGGUAGCACAGAGGAGCUUGCUCCUCGGGUGACGAGUGGCGGACGGGUGAGUAAUGUCUGGGGAUCUGCCCGAUAGAGGGGGAUAACCACUGGAAACGGUGGCUAAUACCGCAUAACGUCGCAAGACCAAAGAGGGGGACCUUCGGGCCUCUCACUAUCGGAUGAACCCAGAUGGGAUUAGCUAGUAGGCGGGGUAACGGCCCACCUAGGCGACGAUCCCUAGCUGGUCUGAGAGGAUGACCAGCCACACUGGAACUGAGACACGGUCCAGACUCCUACGGGAGGCAGCAGUGGGGAAUAUUGCACAUUGGGCGCAAGCCUGAUGCAGCCAUGCCGCGUGUAUGAAGAAGGCCUUCGGGUUGUAAAGUACUUUCAGCGGGGAGGAAGGCGAUGUGGUUAAUAACCGCAUUGAUUGACGUUACCCGCAGAAGAAGCACCGGCUAACUCCGUGCCAGCCGCCACGGUAA
rnacentral:rRNA from 1 species